rnacentral:rRNA from 1 species
GCAAUGCGCGAAAGCGUGACGCAGCAACGCCGCGUGGGGGAAGAAGGCCUUCGGGUUGUAAACCCCUUUCAGGAGGGACGAAGCCCGGGCGGUGAAUAGCCGACUCGGGUGACGGUACCUCCACAAGAAGCCCCGGCUAACUACGUGCCAGCAGCCGCGGUAAUACGUAGGGGGCAAGCGUUGUCCGGAAUCAUUGGGCGUAAAGAGCGUGUAGGCGGUCCGGUAAGUCGGCUGUGAAAGUCCAGGGCUCAACUCUGGGAUGCCGGUCGAUACUGCCGGACUAGAGUUCGGAAGAGGCGAGUGGAAUUCCCGGUGUAGCGGUGAAAUGCGCAGAUAUCGGGAGGAACACCUAUGGCGAAGGCAGCUCGCUGGGACGUUACUGACGCUGAGACGCGAAAGCGUGGGGAGCAAACAGGAUUAGAUACCCUGGUAGUCCACGCCGUAAACGAUGGGCACUAGGUGUGGGAGGUGUCGACUCCUCCCGUGCCGGAGCUAACGCA